GUCAAUUCUUUCAGUAAUUGAGCCUGUUGCUAGCCUGGCGCUGGCAAAGUCUGUUUCCCCUCUGCCCCACGUACUCUCUGUAAACCACCCAUCGUAGUUUCCAACCGACAACCAGUGACUUCUAAUUAUCACUGCAAUACAUACAGUUUGCCAGAUUAAUGGAGCUUUUUACCAGUAGUUCCUUGUGUUAAAAGAACAACAUGUCUGGAAGAAAUUCUAGCGCUAGUCUGUUUAAGCUGCAUAGAAAAAGUGCAAUAAUGCUGACAGUGACCAUUGAAAGCCAUAAAAAGAGCCUAAGUUGCACUUAAAUUAGAAAGCAGCUUCAACAGAGAAAAUUGUUUUGCUCUUGGAAAAAGCAGGAUUGUUUUUUUUCUACCUCGUCUUUUCAAAGAUCGACGUUUGACUACCAGCAAAUGAAAUUUGCUUCACCUGUCUAAAAAAAAAUGUAUGAAGGAUUUCUGGUCAGGACAUGCAUUUGGAAUGCUGUUUACAAAACAUGGCGUUCACCUGAGUGCAGUUCGUGUAGCAUUUCAGAUGGUUGGUGCUAACACAGAUCUGCUGUGAAAGGGGCAGGUUUCAAGAUAUUCCCCAACUCCAUGUGCACUGUGGACUCUUGCGGAGUAAGGUACAUGUGCAUUGUCUAAAUUUGAUUAUAUAAACAGUGAGAGGACAGCAAAAGGAGGAGAAAAAACCUGGUGGGCUACAGAUCUUUAUCCUUUUCAACUGUUACAAUUGGCAAAAAAUUAUCUACAUCCUGCGUUCUACUACUACACCUUCAUGGCCGUCGACUCAGUGAGAUUUCGCAUUUAAAGCAAAUCAGCUCCCACCUUUUGGAAAUUUCUGGCAACCCCCACUGAGGGUGAAUUUUCUGCAGUAACGAUUUCUUUGUGCAUUUUUGUACAGAGGUUAUUGGUGCUCCCAUCAGCUUUUGAUUCUCCCGAGGCAGAAGAAUGUAUAAUGGAGCACAAGUCAUUGAGUGAAAGAAGAACAAAUGACUUUAUUGACAUUCAAAUUAUUUGGGGAGUUGUCACCCAUUGUGUGUAUUGCAUCACUUAUAUUUGUAUUAAAUUCUUCCAACCACUGAUAUCCUUCGUGAUCUGACACAAAAGGAUAAAUAGUUUCACCCUUGUCAUGCAAGUAAACAUCUUCUCUUACCUGUCCAUAACCUUUAGUGAAAUUCUUAUGGAAGUGAAGUAAUCUACAGUAUCACUGUAUGUGACUUUGCAUCUUUCUUUAAUUUAUUGAGAUUUGUGACAGUAUUUCACGUCUGGUGGAUUUAAUGCACUUGCAUCAAACCUCAUUCCCCUGAAUAUUUAUCGUGAUUGCCUUCACCAUUGGAAGUUACAAUCUCACUUGUUUGUCACGGUAGAAAUUGACCAGUAUGGCAAUAUUGGUUCUGCUUUUAAAGGCAGGUGAUAUUUGAGCCAUUCAGAAUUGUUGGUAAAUUUGAAGCCAUCGUUUCAGCUCAUAAAUAUUUCAGACUGAAUAUUUUGAAAUUCUUUAACUUUACUCUUUAAUUCUUUUUAAAGUGCACAAUUUGUACACAUCUGACAUGCAUGAUUUUAAACACUGGUGAGACCUGCUUUUUUU